AUUGAACGCUGGCGGCAGGCCUAACACAUGCAAGUCGAGCGGAUGAAGGGAGCUUGCUCCUGGAUUCAGCGGCGGACGGGUGAGUAAUGCCUAGGAAUCUGCCUGGUAGUGGGGGAUAACGUCCGGAAACGGGCGCUAAUACCGCCUACGUCCUGAGGGAGAAAGUGGGGGAUCUUCGGACCUCACGCUAUCAGAUGAGCCUAGGUCGGAUUAGCUAGUUGGUGGGGUAAAGGCCUACCAAGGCGAGGAUCCGUAACUGGUCUGAGAGGAGGGUCAGUCACACGGGAAGUGGGACAGGGUCCAGGCGCCUACGGGAGGCAGCAGUGGGGAAUAGUGGGCAGUGGGCGGAAGCCUGAUCCAGCCAGGGCGCGUGUGUGAAGAAGGUCUUCGGAUUGUAAAGCACGUUAAGUUGGGGGGAAGGGCAGUAAGUUGAUACCUUGCUGUUGUGACGGUACCAACAGAAUAAGCACCGGCUAACUUCGUG
rnacentral:rRNA from 1 species